UACGUAGGGUGCGAAGCGUUGUCCGGAAUUAUUGGCGUAAAGAGCUCGUAGGCGGUCUGUCGACGUCGGCUGUGAAAACCUGAGGCUCAACCUCGGGCCUGCAGUCGAUACGGGCAGACUAGAGUUCGGUAGGGGAGACUGGAAUUCCUGGUGUAAGCGGUGAAAUGCGCAGAGUAAUCAGGAGGAACACCAGUGGCGAAGG
rnacentral:rRNA from 1 species